GAAUGAUUUUAAGUGGAUUAGUGGCGGACGGGUGAGUAACGCGUGAGUAACCUGCCUUGCACAAGGGGAUAGCCGUUGGAAACGACGAAUAAUACCCUAUGAUAUAAACUCUUCGCAUGAAGAGUUUAUCAAAGAUUUAUCGGUGUAAGAUGGACUCGCGUCUGAUUAGCUAGUUGGUGGGGUAACAGCCUACCAAGGCAACGAUCAGUAGCCGGCUUGAGAGAGUGUACGGCCACAUUGGGACUGAGACACGGCCCAGACUCCUACGGGAGGCAGCAGUGGGGAAUUUUGCACAAUGGGGGAAACCCUGAUGCAGCGACGCCGCGUGAUUUAGAAGGCCUUCGGGUUGUAAAAAUCUUUUUUACGGGAUGAAAAUGACAGUACCGUAAGAAUAAGGUCCGGCUAAAUACGUGCCAGCAGCCGCGGUAAUACGUAUGGACCGAGCGUUGUCCGGAAUCAUUGGGCGUAAAGGGUACGUAGGCGGCCUAGUAAGUUAGAAGUUAAAGAAUAUAGCUCAACUAUAUAAAGCUUUUAAAACUGCUAGGCUUGAGAGAUGGAAGGGAAAGUGGAAUUCCUAGUGUAGCGGUGAAAUGCGCAGAUAUUAGGAAGAAUACCGGUGGCGAAGGCGACUUUCUGGUCAUCAUCUGACGCUGAGGUACGAAAGCGUGGGUAGCAAACAGGAUUAGAUACCCUGGUAGUCCACGCUGUAAACGAUGAGUGUUAGGUUCUUGGAAUAAUCUGGGAGCCGCAGCUAACGCAUUAACACUCCGCCUGGGGAGUACGCAC
rnacentral:rRNA from 1 species